rnacentral:rRNA from 1 species
GACGAACGCUGGCGGCGUGCCUAAUACAUGCAAGUCGAACGCAGUGGGGACGGGUGAGUAACACGUGGGUAACCUCCCAUCAGAGGGGAUAACACUUGGAAACAGGUGCUAAACCGAUACUGAUGGAUGGACCCGCGGUGCAUUAGCUAGUUGGUGAGGUAACGGCUCACCAAGGCCACGAUGCAUAGACGACCAGAGAGGGGGAUCGGCCACACUUGGACUGAGACACGGCCCAGACGCGUACAGGAUGCAGCAGUAAGGAAUCUUCGACAAUGGACGAAAGUCUGACCGAGCAACGUCGCGUGAGUGAAGAAGGUUUUCGGAUCGUAAAACUCUGGUGUUAGAGAAGCGGUAUCUAACCAGAAAGCCACGGCUAACUUCGUGCCAGCAGCCGCGGUAAAC